UUUCGUCUAGUUUGUAGUGGAUGUGUCACUGUCUAGCUGCAAUGUAUCGAGGAUGAAAAUUAGUCAAGCUACAUUCUGUGUUCUGUUCUCAGCAUUACUGCUACACGUGCAGUUUGAUAUAUCGACAUCGGGUGACCUCCAAGGGCUUGGAUUUUGUUAUAUAGAUGGAUACAACAAAGAUAACGAAAUUCGGCUCUACGACAGCCUUACACUAAACUGUGUAUGUAUUAGUUUCGAAGAAAUCACUUGGAAGCUGGACAGGCAAAAGAUAGUACCAGGAAGAUUAUUUAGUAUCGAGCAUAGUGAGAAGGAAGGGCUGCUACUCAGCAAGCUAACAAUUACUAACUUUCGACAAAAUGGACAAUUUUGCUGUAGCACAAAUACAUUUGAUGCUGUAUGUGUCAAUGUGACAUAUGCUCUUCCUCCAUCGGCUAAUGUAUCAAUAGAAAAUUACCAUUACAUAGGAAAUAGAGUCUAUUUGGUGCUGGUCAGCUGUGCAAUUUGGACACAAUCGGAAAAAGUUAGAAAUGAAGCCCUAUCUGCAGUUGUUUACAAUGAUCGAGAGUCAACGAAUGAAUAUGAACUUACGGAGGACAGAAAUCAAACUGAUGGGAAGAUCAAGUAUUUUAUUAGAGAACAGUACAUCUAUGAAAAUUUUAGCUGUGGCUCUUAUCUGCAUUGCAAAUUUUGGGACGCGACUGUUCACAGAUCCUUUGAGAGUCCAAAUAUUAUAUUUCAGCCACAACCUUGUUUGCCUACCACAGAAACAAAAACUCAGAGAAAACUAUCGCUCUAACUCCAAGUACAGUACCUACCACAGAAACAAACUUAGUGAUAACUAUCGCUUUAUCUUCUUCAAGUGCAGUACUUACACUGAUUAUUCUACUUCUUUUAAUAAUCGGCUGUCUUCGACUCAAACGCAACAGACGUAAACAGCUAGCAUCAGGCAUACCGUCUAACAACACUGAGAUUGGAUCGAGCUGGAACGAUUCCUACAACGCUACUGAUUUAGGCGAUCAAGCUACUAGAGUUACUACUGUCUCUAAACCUAGGAAAGAGCUUUCUUCGAUGGAGGCUAUUAAUAUUAGGACUAGCUCUGGACCUACAGUUUCUGAACUGGAAAGCACCAAGUCAAUAGUAACAGAAGUUGAUACAAGUGAAGCAAGAAGACCAGGAGCCAAUUUCAUGAACAGUGCAAGCUCUAAAGCAAUUAGAGACAGUGCAGAUAUGCAAACGAGUGUUGCAAUGGAAGCUGCCACAACAGCAUCUGAUAAUGGGACCAAAUUAGACAGAAUUGAAAGAAAAUUAGACAUCAUUUUGUCAGAAGACAGGACGGUUACGGCAAGCUGAUCAUAGGCAGGGCAGUGAACAGUUGCGUGCGUGCGUUCGUGUGUGUUGUGCGUGUUUGUUUGUUUGUAUGUGUGUCAUUGCGGAUUCAAUUUGCUUAUUAGUGUAAAAAAUAUCAGGAUAAAACAUUCACAAUUAGUGCAACGAAUAGCUACAAUGUAUACCUGUACCAACAGAUCAUUCCAGCAAGCCCUAGAACAUCAGUAAUAUGUUAAUU